UACGAAGGGGGCUAGCGUUGCUCGGAAUGACUGGGCGUAAAGGGCGCGUAGGCGGAUUAUUCAGUCAGGCGUGAAAUUCCUGGGCUCAACCUGGGGACUGCGUUUGAGACGGGUAGUCUUGAGUUCGGAAGAGGGUCGUGGAAUUCCCAGUGUAGAGGUGAAAUUCGUAGAUAUUGGGAAGAACACCGGUGGCGAAGGCGGCGACCUGGUCCGAUACUGACGCUGAGGCGCGAAAGCGUGGGGAGCAAACAGG
rnacentral:rRNA from 1 species